GAUGAACGCUGGCGGCGUGCCUAAUACAUGCAAGUCGAGCGAACAGAUGAGGAGCUUGCUCCUCUGACGUUAGCGACGGACGGGUGAGUAACACGUGGAUAACCUACCUAUAAGACUGGGAUAACUUCGGGAAACCGGAGCUAAUACCGGAUAAUAUAUUGAACCGCAUGGUUCAAUAGUGAAAGACGGUUUUGCUGUCACUUAUAGAUGGAUCCGCGCCGCAUUAGCUAGUUGGUAAGGUAACGGCUUACCAAGGCAACGAUGCGUAGCCGACCUGAGAGGGUGAUCGGCCACACUGGAACUGAGACACGGUCCAGACUCCUACGGGAGGCAGCAGUAGGGAAUCUUCCGCAAUGGGCGAAAGCCUGACGGAGCAACGCCGCGUGAGUGAUGAAGGUCUUCGGAUCGUAAAACGCUGUUAUUAGGGAAGAACAAAUGUGUAAGUAACUAUGCACGUCUUGACGGUACCUAAUCAGAAAGCCACGGCUAACUACGUG
rnacentral:rRNA from 1 species